AGUCGCCAUGUUGGUUGAGAAUAAAGGGAUGGUUUUGGAGGCCUGGGCGGACUUCUUUGAUGAGGGGAAACCGCUUUCGCGGGAUCUGGUGGAUGUAGAUAUAUGGGUUUAUAGUUGGGGAAACUUAAUUGCCAGGAGGCGAGACUGAGAGUGUCACAGGGAUUGGACUUGACCUCAGACAUCUUGACGCUCAAACCAGGAUUCUAGCAUAAAAAUGGUAGCAAGAAGAGAAGAAAAUGGGCAUACUUACGGAGAAUUGAAAAUCAAAAAAAUGAUUAAGAUAAAUUCAAGAAGGCCGGGCGCGGUGGCUC
rnacentral:lncRNA from 10 species